UACGUAGGGGGCGAGCGUUGUCCGGAUUCAUUGGGCGUAAAGAGCUCGUAGGCGGUUCGCUAAGUCAGGUGUGAAAUCUCCACGCUCAACGUGGAGGGGCCACCUGAUACUGGCGUGACUCGAGUCCGGUAGGGGAGUGUGGAAUUCCCGGUGUAGCGGUGAAAUGCGCAGAUAUCGGGAGGAACACCAGUGGCGAAGGCGGCACUCUGGGCCGGAACUGACGCUGAGGAGCGAAAGCAUGGGGAGCGAACAGG
rnacentral:rRNA from 1 species